rnacentral:rRNA from 1 species
UACGUAGGGUGCGAGCGUUAAUCGGAAUUACUGGGCGUAGAGCGUGCGCAGGCGGUUUUGUAAGCCAGAUGUGAAAUCCCCGGGCUUAACCUGGGAAUGGCAUUUGGGACUGCAAGGCUUGAGUGCGGCAGAGGAGACUGGAAUUCCUGGUGUAGCAGUGAAAUGCGUAGAUAUCAGGAGGAACACCAGCGGCGAAGGCGGCGCUCUGGGCCGGUACUGACGCUGAGGAGCGAAAGCGUGGGUAGCAAACAGG